UACGUAGGGUGCGAGCGUUGUCCGGAAUUAUUGGGCGUAAAGGGCUCGUAGGCGGUUUGCCGCGUCGGGAGUGAAAACACCGGGCUUAACUCGGUGCUUGCUUUCGAUACGGGCAGACUAGAGGCAUGCAGGGGAGAACGGAAUUCCUGGUGUAGCGGUGAAAUGCGCAGAUAUCAGGAGGAACACCGGUGGCGAAGGCGGUUCUCUGGGCAUGAUCUGACGCUGAGGAGCGAAAGUGUGGGGAGCGAACAGG
rnacentral:rRNA from 1 species